UUAUUUGUAGAAAGCAUGUCAAUGUGUUACCUGCUUUUCAGAGGCACACACACCUCUGUUAACAUCUUAGUAGACACUCAGGAGUAAGACAGGACCUGAAGGAGACACACGGAGUGAGGGAGUCUGUGGGUCACCACUGCUUUUGGGACCUCUUGCACAGUGUGGGACCAUCUGCACAAUGGGUUCAGUAAUGUAUGAGAUUAUGCAGCAGGAGAUCAGGCCGUUACUGGCAGUCGACAUAAUUGAACAACUUCACAGGCAGUUUGCUCUUCUUUCAGGUGAGAAAUGAAUAUGUCUGUUUGCUCUUCAGGUUGGGAGAAAAAGGCUUAUUGUUUUUUAAGCUAUUUACUUUCCUUCUCUAUAGCUAUUGGUGACGCUUUUGAACUUUGACCC
ensembl:lncRNA